rnacentral:rRNA from 1 species
AGUGAACGCUGGCGGUAGGCCUAACACAUGCAAGUCGAACGACAGCACAGUAAGAGCUUGCUCUUACGGGUGGCGAGUGGCGGACGGGUGAGGAAUACAUCGGAAUCUACUUUUUCGUGGGGGAUAACGUAGGGAAACUUACGCUAAUACCGCAUACGACCUACGGGUGAAAGCAGGGGAUCUUCGGACCUUGCGCGAUUGAAUGAGCCGAUGUCGGAUUAGCUAGUUGGCGGGGUAAAGGCCCACCAAGGCGACGAUCCGUAGCCGGUCUGAGAGGAUGAUCAGCCACACUGGAACUGAGACACGGUCCAGACUCCUACGGGAGGCAGCAGUGGGGAAUAUUGGACAAUGGGCGCAAGCCUGAUCCAGCCAUACCGCGUGGGUGAAGAAGGCCUUCGGGUUGUAAAGCCCUUUUGUUGGGAAAGAAAAGCAGCAGGUUAAUACCCCGCUGUUCUGACGGUACCCAAAGAAUAAGCACCGGCUAACUUCGUG